UACGGAGGGUGCGAGCGUUAAUCGGAAUUACUGGGCGUAAAGGGCGCGUAGGCGGUUCGAUAAGUCAGAUGUGAAAGCCCAGGGCUUAACCUUGGAAUUGCAUUUGAUACUGUCGAGCUUGAGUGUGGUAGAGGAAAGCGGAAUUCCGGGUGUAGCGGUGAAAUGCGUAGAUAUCCGGAGGAACAUCAGUGGCGAAGGCG
rnacentral:rRNA from 2 species